GCCGGGUGUGGUGGCUCACGCCUGUAAUCCCAGCACUUUGGGAGGCUGAGGCGGGAGGAUCACCUGAGGUCGGGAGUUCGAGACCAGCCUGGCCAACAUGGUGAAACCCUGUCUCUA
rnacentral:SRP_RNA from 1 species